UGUGGGUGCUGGCUUGCCUGCGAUGGCGGCGGGUCAGUUGGCGGAUUUUUCACUGAUCGCUAUCGCAGGCAAGCCAGCGCCCACA
rnacentral:misc_RNA from 1 species